CGGAGGGUGCAAGCGUUAUCCGGAUUCACUGGGUUUAAAGGGUGCGUAGGCGGGUUGGUAAGUCCGUGGUGAAGUCCCCAAGCUUAACUUGGGAACUGCCGUGGAUACUAUCAAUCUUGAAUAUCGUGGAGGUAAGCGGAAUAUGUCAUGUAGCGGUGAAAUGCUUAGAUAUGACAUAGAACACCAAUUGCGUAGGCAGCUUACUACACGAUCAUUGACGCUGAGGCACGAAAGCGUGGGGAGCAAACAGGAUUAGAUACCCUGGUAGUCCACGCCCAAAACGAUGGAUACUCGACAUCAGCGAUAUACUGUUGGUGUCUGAGCGAAAGCAUUAAGUAUCCCACCUGGGAAGUACGAUCGCAAGAUUG
rnacentral:rRNA from 1 species